rnacentral:tRNA from 3 species
GUCCCGGUAGCUCAGCUGGAUAGAGCAGCGGACUUCUAAUCCGCAGGUCGCAGGUUCGAAUCCUGCCCGGGAUG